UGAAGUACGCGAUGCUGUUGGGUUCACGCAAAGUGGGGCCACGUUCAUUGAUCCAGACCUCUCAUAUGAGUGGGCUGCUUGAAUCAUGCUCAAGAUUCUCUCAACUACAUACAUCAGGUUUUCUCGGGAGAGGCUCCCUCUCUCUACAUACAUCAGGUUUUCUCAGGAGAUGCUCAUCUGCAGGUCUCUCUCUCUCUCUCUCUCUCUCUCUCUCUCUCUCUCUACAUACAUACAUCAGGUUCUCUCUGGAGAGGAGACGAAUGCAAGACAUGGAUUCUCUUCUUUCGAGUAAAAGAGUGUUUCAAUUCAAAAGAAGAAGGAAAAUAAGCCCUCUCAUGGAGGGCUUCUACUUCCAUCUCUGCCGGGAAUUUCAUCACCCUCCGAAACUGAGAUCUGCCUCCCAUCACAGGCAUUCGUUUCACGCCUUCCGAUCAGGAACUGCUGGUUUAUCUCAAGAACAAGAAUCAUGGGCUUCCACAGCCAAUUGAUUUGAUCCAUGAAUAUAAUAUCUAUACAUGUCGCCCAGAUCAACUUCCACGAAAUUUCUUCUAUGGGAAGGGCAACGAGUUGUACUUCUUUGUCACAAGAGAUUUGACAAAAUCUAGGAUGCCGCGCAAUGUGGAAAAUGGUUACGGUUUUUGGAGGUCAACUGGAAAUAUUGAACUAGUAAGAGACCAAGAUCAUGUAGUCAUUGGCAAAAAGAGGACCUUUAAUUUUUUCAAAUGCAAACCAAAACGGGAAAAAACAAAUUGGGUGAU